UACAGAGGUCUCAAGCGUUGUUCGGAUUCAUUGGGCGUAAAGGGUGUGUAGGUGGCGCCGUAAGUCGGGUGUGAAAUUUCGGAGCUUAACUCCGAAACUGCAUUCGAUACUGCGGUGCUUGAGGACUGGAGAGGAGACUGGAAUUUACGGUGUAGCGGUGAAAUGCGUAGAUAUCGUAAGGAAGACCAGUGGCGAAGGCGGGUCUCUGGACAGUUCCUGACGCUGAGGCACGAAGGCCCAGGGGGAGCAAACGGGG
rnacentral:rRNA from 1 species